GAACGCUGGCGGCGUGCCUAAUACAUGCAAGUCGAGCGAACGGACGAGAAGCUUGCUUCUCUGAUGCUAGCGGCGGACGGGUGAGUAACACGUGGAUAACCUACCUAUAAGACUGGGAUAACUUCGGGAAACCGGAGCUAAUACCGGAUGAUAUUUUGAACCGCAUGGUUCAAAAGUGAAAGACGGUCUUGCUGUCACUUAUAGAUGGAUCCGCGCUGCAUUAGCUAGUUGGUAAGGUAACGGCUUACCAAGGCAACGAUGCAUAGCCGACCUGAGAGGGUGAUCGGCCACACUGGAACUGAGACACGGUCCAGACUCCUACGGGAGGCAGCAGUAGGGAAUCUUCCGCAAUGGGCGAAAGCCUGACGGAGCAACGCCGCGUGAGUGAUGAAGGUCUUCGGAUCGUAAAACGCUGUUAUUAGGGAAGAACAUAUGUGUAAGUAACUGUGCACAUCUUGACGGUACCUAAUCAGAAAGCCACGGCUAACUACGU
rnacentral:rRNA from 1 species